rnacentral:lncRNA from 1 species
GCCCCUACGGUGUUCGACGACGGAGCAGUGGCUGAGACUCUCCUCCGGGUGAGCACCGCAGCGUUACAGUGCUCCAUCUCCUCCGCCGCUGCGCUUUUCUUCCCCACGGCGGCAAUGAGUGGCCUCACCACCACCUCCGCACCGCCGCGAUUACUCGCAAUCCCAGCACGACACCGUUUCACUGACAAUUCAUGGACUUCCAUCGCCAUCCCCAAACCUCAUCUCAGAGCUCCACGAAUCAACCAGAAAUUUCACGGCGGCAAGGAGGAGAUGUUUAGGGGG